GAUGAAGAACGCAGCGAAAUGCGAUAAGUAAUGUGAAUUGCAGAAUUCAGUGAAUCAUCGAAUCUUUGAACGCACAUUGCGCCCCUUGGUAUUCCGGGGGGCAUGCCUGUUCGAGCGUCAUUUCAACCCUCAAGCUCAGCUUGGUAUUGAGUCCAUGUCAGUAAUGGCAGGCUCUAAAAUCAGUGGCGGCGCCGCUGGGUCCUGAACGUAGUAAUAUCUCUCGUUACAGGUUCUCGGUGUGCUUCUGCAAAAACCCAAAUUUUCUAUGGUUGACCUCGGAUCAGGUAGGGAUACCCGCUGAACUUAAGCAUAUCAAUAAGCGGAGGA
rnacentral:misc_RNA from 1 species